UAGCUAGUUGGUGAGGUAAAGGCUUACCAAGGCGACGAUCUGUAGCGGGUCUGAGAGGAUGAUCCGCCACACUGGAACUGAGACACGGUCCAGACUCCUACGGGAGGCAGCAGUGGGGAAUUUUGGACAAUGGGGGCAACCCUGAUCCAGCCAUGCCGCGUGAGUGAAGAAGGCCUUCGGGUUGUAAAGCUCUUUCGGCCGGGAAGAAAUCGCAUGGGCCAAUACCCUGUGUGGAUGACGGUACCGGAAUAAGAAGCACCGGCUAACUACGUGCCAGCAGCCGCGGUAAUACGUAGGGUGCGAGCGUUAAUCGGAAUUACUGGGCGUAAAGCGUGCGCAGGCGGUUUUGUAAGACAGGCGUGAAAUCCCCGGGCUUAACCUGGGAACUGCGUUUGUGACUGCAAGGCUAGAGUACGGCAGAGGGGGGUGGAAUUCCACGUGUAGCAGUGAAAUGCGUAGAGAUGUGGAGGAACACCAAUGGCGAAGGCAGCCCCCUGGGUCGAUACUGACGCUCAUGCACGAAAGCGUGGGUAGCAAACAGGAUUAGAUACCCUGGUAGUCCACGCCCUAAACUAUGUCAACUAGGUGUUGGGUGGGUAAAACCAUUUAGUACCGUAGCUAACGCGUGAAGUUGACCGCCUGGGGAGUACGGCCGCAAGGUUAAAACUCAUAGGAAUUGACGGGGACCCGCACAAGCGGUGGAUGAUGUGGAUUAAUUCGAUGCAACGCGAAAAACCUUACCUACCCUUGACAUGCCAGGAACUUGCCAGAGAUGGCUUGGUGCCCGAAAGGGAGCCUGGACACAGGUGCUGCAUGGCUGUCGUCAGCUCGUGUCGUGAGAUGUUGGGUUAAGUCCCGCAACGAGCGCAACCCUUGUCGUUAAUUGCCAUCAUUUAGUUGGGCACUUUAACGAGACUGCCGGUGACAAACCGGAGGAAGGUGGGGAUGACGUCAAGUCCUCAUGGCCCUUAUGGGUAGGGCUUCACACGUCAUACAAUGGUCGGUACAAAGGGUUGCCAAGCCGCGAGGCGGAGCCAAUCCCAGAAAGCCGAUCGUAGUCCGGAUUGCAGGCUGCAACUCGCCUGCAUGAAGUCGGAAUCGCUAGUAAUCGUGGAUCAGCAUGUCACGGUGAAUACGUUCCCGGGUCUUGUACACACUGCCCGUCACACCAUGGGAGCGGGUUCCGCCAGAAGUAGGUAGCCUAACCGCAAGGGGGGCGCUUACCACGGCGGGGUUCGUGACUGGGGUGAAGUCGUAACAAGGUAGCCGUAGGGGAACCUGCGGCUG
rnacentral:rRNA from 1 species